GAUGAACGCUAGCGAUAGGCUUAACACAUGCAAGUCGAGGGGCAGCAUGGUCUUAGCUUGCUAAGGCUGGUGGCGACCGGCGUAAGGGUGCGUAACGCGUAUGUAACUUGCCUUUGAGAGGGGGAUAACCCGGAGAAAUCCGGCCUAAUACCGCGUAUUCUCAAGUUGCUGCAUGGCAGUUUGAGGAAAGAUUUAUUGCUCAGAGAUAGGCAUGCGUUCCAUUAGGUAGUUGGUGAGGUAACGGCCCACCAAGGCAAUGAUGGGUAGCCGGCCUGAGAGGGUGAACGGCCACAAGGGGACUGAGACACGGCCCUU
rnacentral:rRNA from 1 species